rnacentral:rRNA from 1 species
ACACGACUACAUUAGAUACCCCUGUAGUCCCUAGCCGUAAACGAUACUCGCUAGGUGUCGGCCACGGUGCGACCGUUGUCGGUGCCGUAGGGAAGCCGUGAAGCGAGCCACCUGGGAAGUACGGCCGCAAGGCUGAAACUUAAAGGAAUUGGCCGGGGGAGCACCACAACGGGUGGAGCCUGCGGUUUAAUUGGACUCAACGCCGGGAAGCUCACCGGAUAAGACAGCGGAAUGAUUGCCGGGCUGAAGACCCUGCAUGACCAGCUG